UAUUCAUGUGGUACCGUCAAAUCCCGGCGUCCGGGACCUUCUUCUCACAUAAAAGGAGUUUACGCCCCAUAGGGGUGUCUUCCUCCACGCGGCGUGGCUGCGUCAGGCUUUCGCCCAUUGCGCAAUAUUCCUC
rnacentral:rRNA from 1 species